UGGGGAAUAUUGGACAAUGGGGGCAACCCUGAUCCAGCCAUGCCGCGUGUGUGAAGAAGGCCUUUUGGUUGUAAAGCACUUUAAGCAGGGAGGAGAGGCUAAUGGUUAAUACCCAUUAGAUUAGACGUUACCUGCAGAAUAAGCACCGGCUAACUCUGUGCCAGCAGCCGCGGUAAUACAGAGGGUGCGAGCGUUAAUCGGAAUUACUGGGCGUAAAGCGAGUGUAGGUGGCUCAUUAAGUCACAUGUGAAAUCCCCGGGCUUAACCCGGGAACUGCAUGUGAUACUGGUGGUGCUAGAAUAUGUGAGAGGGAAGUAGAAUUCCAGGUGUAGCGGUGAAAUGCGUAGAGAUCUGGAGGAAUACCGAUGGCGAAGGCAGCUUCCUGGCAUAAUAUUGACACUGAGAUUCGAAAGCGUGGGUAGCAAACAGGAUUAGAUACCCUGGUAGUCCACGCCGUAAAACGAUGUCUACUAGCCGUUGGGGUCCUUGAGACUUUAGUGGCGCAGUUAACGCGAUAAGUAGACCGCCUGGGGAGUACGGCCGCAAGGUUAAAACUCAAAAGGAAUUGACGGGGUCAUAGCUGUUUCCU
rnacentral:rRNA from 1 species